CUGAACCAGCCAAGUAGCGUGAAGGAUGACUGCCCUAUGGGUUGUAAACUUCUUUUAUAAAGGAAUAAAGUCGGGUAUGCAUACCCGUUUGCAUGUACUUUAUGAAUAAGGAUCGGCUAACUCCGUGCCAGCAGCCGCGGUAAUACGGAGGAUCCGAGCGUUAUCCGGACUUAUUGGGUUUAAAGGGAGCGUAGGCGGGUUGUUAAGUCAGUUGUGAAAGUUUGCGG
rnacentral:rRNA from 1 species